AAUAAACCAAAUUUUCACUUUUUACCUUCAAUUUUUAAGUCUUCGUCUUAUUUAAAAAAAUUUUGCAAUUGAUAUUUUUAUUUUUAUUAGAUGAUAAAUCAUAAAUAGUAUUUUACGUGUGACUAAUUUUUUUUAAUUUUCUAAAAUUUUUCAAAUAAGACGGAUGGUCAAACGUUGGAUACAGAAAUUC
rnacentral:pre_miRNA from 1 species